GUGGCCUCCUCAUCCUUCAGCUUGAAGGCUUUCUCUGCUCGGGCAUAUCCUUUGGUCCGAGCCAGCAAAUCAGUGAAAUUCCUGGGAUACUUCUUUUUCAAAAAAAAUAGAAGGUCAUUCUUUUGAGACUACUCUUCAGGACAGCCAUUGCAACUGAUUGGUCCAAGUUCCGGACCUCCAAUGCGGUGGCGUUAAAAUGGUUGAC
rnacentral:lncRNA from 1 species